ACGCUUGUACGGAACAGGCGUUACCGAUGGCAAAGUGUCGAUGACUAAAGUGCAUGGACGCUUGUACAGAUGUUCAGUCAGAGGUGCAAUUCUGAAGGACACUCUCCACUAACAUGCAUGGACUUGAGCGACGUUCAAGAAAAUUCUGUCACGCCAACUUCUGCAGCAUGACUGUUCUCCCGCACUGAAAGACCUCCCUUGUAUGUCAACGUCAAAAAUCGCAGACCAAUCCAAGAUGUGCCGCCUCCACCUACUUGGCAACCUUAUUCUCACUUGAAUGAAGCUGGGCAUCCGGACCC